rnacentral:rRNA from 1 species
AUUGAACGCUGGCGGCAGGCCUAACACAUGCAAGUCGAACGAGUGGCGGACGGGUGAGUAAUGUCUGGGAAACUGCCCGAUGGCGGGGGGUAACUACUGGAAACGGUAGCUAAUACCGCAUACUAUCGGAUGUGCCCAGAUGGGAUUAGCUAGUUGGUGGGGUAACGGCUCACCUAGGCGACGAUCCGUAGCUGGUCUGAGAGGAUGACCAGCCACACUGGGACUGAGACACGGUCCAGACUCCUACGGGAGGCAGCAGUGGGGAAUAUUGGACAAUGGGCGCAAGCCUGAUGCAGCCAUGCCGCGUGUAUGAAGAAGGCCUUCGGGUUGUAAAGUACUUUUGGCGGGGAAGCGGUACCCGCAGAAGAAGCACCGGCUAACUCCGUGCCAGCCGCCGCGGUAAUAC